rnacentral:rRNA from 1 species
GAUGAACGCUGGCGGCGUGCCUAACACAUGCAAGUCGAACGACCAGACGAUGAGCUUGCUCCUCUGACGUUAGCGGCGGGCGGGUGAGUAACACGUGGAUAACCUACCUAUAUUUCUGGGAUAAUUACGGGAAACAGGCUCUAAUACCGGCUAAUAUCUUGCACCGCAUGGUUCAAUGGUGAAAGACGGUUUUUGUGUCACUUAUAGCUGCAUCCGCGCCGGAUUAGCUAGUUGGUAAGGUAACGGCGUACCAAGGCGACGAUGCGUAGCCGAACUGAGAGGAUGAUCGGCCACACUGGAACUGAGACACGGUCCAGACUCCUACGGGAGGCAGCAGUAGGGAAUCUUAGGCAAUGGGCGAAAGCCUGACCCAGCAACGCCGCGUGGGUGAUGAAGGCCUUCGGAUCGUAAAGCCCUUUUAUUGGGGAAGAACAACUGUGGAUGUAAACAUGGAUGUCUUGACGGUACCCAAUCAAAAAGCACCGGCUAACUACGUG